AUGAAACUGAAAAAGACAGCAAGGUCUCGAGGCGUCCCAUCUCAGGGGAGUGGACAAAUAAAGAACAGGAGCAGUCGAGCCUGUGGAACUCCUGCUGGCUGCGUGCAAGGCUCAACACUCUUCUGCAGUGAUGAAGGGUACGGCAGCAAGCGCAGGAAUAACGGACUGACCAAACACAAGCGCUCUGACAGAAUGAAGGUGAGAUGCAUUGGGAUUUCAGCUCAGAUGCAUGUCGUUCUUCAGCCACCUGCUGCUCAUCCACACCCACCUCUCCCUGCCUCUCUGAAACACUUCCCUGCUGCAUGCAACAUGCACGAGAAUAACAUGCGAUAGUGAGCAUCCUCUCCAGUCGCAACUGGAAGCAACAGGUCCUGCUGUCCUUCCCUGCAUGCGCUGACUCAAGUGGACGCUCCGAUUAAAGAUGUCGCCUGUGUGCUGCUGUCAUCUCUGACUCUGCAAAAGAGAUCGCUCCUGAGACUCCUCAAAUACAAAUAUCUGCUGCACUGCAUUGUGAGGGAGUUGUUUUCCUCACUUUAUUGUUGCAGCAGAAGAAAUCUUAUCACCUGGUUCCUAAUAGAGAUAAGAGAGUCGAGUGUUUCAUAUACAGAUCUGAUCUUUCAUUCGUCUUGUUUAAUUCAGAAAUGAAACGGAGAAGAAGAGUCCCUCUGUGAUUAACAUGCAUCCGUUCACCUGGAAGCCAUGUCCUGCUUUCACACCUGUCCUGUCUGUUGCAUAACACUGGCCAUAUUUCCAUGCACA